rnacentral:rRNA from 1 species
UACUGAGUAAUAAAAACUUUCAGCAACGGAUCUCUUGGCUCUAGCAUCGAUGAAGAACGCAGCGAAAUGCGAUAAGUAAUGCGAAUUGCAGAAUUCAGUGAGUCAUCGAAUCUUUGAACGCAUAUUGCGCCUGCUAGUUAUUCUAGCAGGCAUGCCUGUCUGAGCGUUAUUACAUAGAUUAUGCUUAAUAUUAUUAGCAUAUGUUGGAGCUUGGUUUAAUAACCAUCUCUUAAAUCUAGUGGCGACUUUUGCUCUGUCCUCUAUGUAGUAAAAUUAAUUUAUCGCAUAAUUGGAAAGCUUCUAAACUGCCAUAAAAUUUUAAUUUUAAAUGUAAAAGUUUAACCUCCGAUCAGGGAGGAAUACCCGCUGAACUUAA